CCUACGGGUGGCUGCAGUGGGGAAUAUUGGACAAUGGGCGAAAGCCUGAUCCAGCCAUGCCGCGUGUGUGAAGAAGGCCUUCGGGUUGUAAAGCACUUUCAGUGGGGAAGAAAGCCUUGGGGCUAAUACCCUCGAGGAAGGACAUCACCCACAGAAGAAGCACCGGCUAACUCCGUGCCAGCAGCCGCGGUAAUACGGAGGUUGCGAGCGUUAAUCGGAAUUACUGGGCGUAAAGCGCGCGUAGGCGGUCUGAUAAGCCGGUUGUGAAAGCCCCGGGCUCAACCUGGGAACGGCAUCCGGAACUGUCAGGCUAGAGUGCAGGAGAGGAAGGUAGAAUUCCCGGUGUAGCGGUGAAAUGCGUAGAGAUCGGGAGGAAUACCAGUGGCGAAGGCGGCCUUCUGGACUGACACUGACGCUGAGGUGCGAAAGCGUGGGUAGCAAACAGGAUUAGAUACCCGAGUAGUC
rnacentral:rRNA from 1 species